UAAAAUGAUAAUUUUGAUGAUCAAAUUACUCUUUCAGUUGCAUGGAAUAAUGUUAUGAGUUAAAGGGGAAAGAGCAAAUUACUUUUCACUCUCCAGUACAGAUCUAUGUGUAGGUGCUACUGCUAACAACGGGAAUCCUACACCAACCUAAGUUUGGAAGUACAUUAUCAAAGACUUGGUGGUUACAUACAUACUUUCCAAAUGCACCAGGUCUCUAAAUAGCAAUUUCCAUGGCAAAUAGUUUGAUGAUCUGUUCGUUAACAAUCUCUAUCCCUCAAAUAAUUUUGUUGCCUUUUCUCCAUUAGCAUUGCAAGGCAAAUGAAAAUUCCAAGAAAAAUACAGCUAUAUUCCUUGACAUGAGAAAUUGAGACGGCAGAAGAUUUCCAAAGCAAAUUGAAAUGGAAUAAAAGAUCCCUCAACUAUAAAUAUGCCCGCCAAAAGACAAAGGCAAGCCAUGGAAUUAGGAGCCCUGCUGGAUUAGUAAUAAUAGAUUUCAAUAAGGAAGCUCAUAGUUAUAUAAAAUAGCAAUAGAUUUUUUUGACGAAUAGAUCAACAAAAAGAUAAAAAAAGCAAUAGAUAUAUUUCCCAACAAAAAGAUUGAUCACAUGACAGUCAUGAUAUGGGAGGAAAAAGACAGAUGCAUCAAGUAGCAGAACGGGGCAAGAACACAGCCCGCUUUAUUUUUUGCAUGUAUUCUCAGCAUAGAUGAAUUAUACAGUUAGAAGAAAAAAAAUACUACCAUGAGACGGUACAUAAAAGAUCCCUUGCCAGACCCCAAGUAAAAGGCAACAAAAUUGUAAGUGAAAGUAACAAACAUGGUCACAAAGCUGAUGGCACCUAGAUUGGUAAUGUCUAGUUCUUUGCGGUAUUCCAUGAAGAUUUUUCCCCACGUUACUCACAAAAGAAGGGACCAUUACUUGCAGAUGCCAAAUCAUUUUAUAGCAGCCGAAAGAUGAAGAUUUGAGCACCCACUCCACUACUCCUUUGUCAAAUUUUGGGUCAUUCCCACAAUUAAAUUGACCAAAAAAAAGGAAUAAUCCGAUGAGUCUACACCACCAACAAAAAUGAAAGCAUGUGCAUUUGAUAGAAAUGUACAUAUGAGUAUAGCAACAAACUUCAACGAAUUGAUAUACUGAACCCUUUACAACUGUUGAUGCACAAAUAUUGAACCAUACAUAACCGGUGAUUAUUUGCUAGAUUUAGGUGGCAAUUAUUAGCAUGAAGGUUAAGAUGAUAGGAAUGAAGAAAGCAUUGUGAAUGAAAAAUCAGAAUAUGAUUUGGAAUCCCAUACGCUCAAAAGAACUCUACAAUGCUGCAAAAAUAAAACCGUGUUUGAAUUACGAAGUUUCCUUAGAGGAAAACAAAACAUAUCUUCCCAUCAUAUUGCAGCGAUGAAGUAUUUUUCAAUCAUAAAAAAACCAUUGGUUGUCAAUGAUGUACCCACACAUGGUGUUAAACGACAGAACAUUCAUGCACUUUUAAUAUGUAAUCCAUGUCUUCAUCUGUUGGAAUGGCAAUAUAGAUCUCAAAGUUUGUUCGUACAGUGCUGAAACAUGAGUGGUAUGACAUCAACUUCACUGAUUUAUAUCUUCUAUAUUUCAAAUGAUAGUUGUCAUGUGGACAAAGCCCCCAGCCAACUUCAUGAAAAAGAGAACGGAUCUGUACCGGCACUGAAAUAAUCAUAAUGGCAUGGACCAGUAAUCCUAUAAUUAUGAUACAACACAUGUGCUUUUGAGAUCAAUAUAAUCCAAGAGGGAACGUCAGAUUAACUUUUCAUGAAUUGGCAGGCAUGGAAAUUUUUUGGAGCAAUGGUACAGACACCAACCUGAUGCUGAAGACUAUGGGAGCGAUGCCGCUCAACUAUCUAAGGGGAAUUUCUGAGGGAGCACGGGAAGUUGCCGAGAGGCGGCGACCUCGUCGCUUCUGGGCAGCAGGGAGGUGGUGGAAGUCGUCCUCGAGGAGGCAGAGUCGUGGAGGUCAUCCUGCACCGGAUCUCCCUCUCCCCUUACUCGGCCACCCCCACCCCUCACCAUCUCUCCCAGAUCAGAUUGAGCCGCAAGUGAGGCGGCGGCCAGAUCGAUGACGCGAUGGAGGUCGCUCCGUUGAGGUAUUCGCGCGCCAGGAGAAGGAGAUGAGGAGGUGGUGCCAUGGGGUGCCUCUGCUCGCCCGCGCGGAAGAACGCCGGAGCAGUCGGCUGCAGGGCAUCGAUGGUGCGUGUGGUGGCAUCGCUUGUUCUGCUGGCAUGAAGAGGAAGGGAUAAGAAGAGAUCCACCGGUGGG
rnacentral:lncRNA from 1 species